ACGAACGCUGGCGGCGUGCUUAACACAUGCAAGUCGAGCGGUAAGGCCCCUUCGGGGGUACACGAGCGGCGAACGGGUGAGUAACACGUGGGUGACCUGCCCUCAGCUCUGGGAUAAGCCUGGGAAACUGGGUCUAAUACCGGAUAUGACUCCAUGACGCAUGUCGUGGGGUGGAAAGCCUUGUGCGGCUGGGGAUGGGCCCGCGGCCUAUCAGCUUGUUGGUGGGGUGAUGGCCACCAAGGCGACGACGGGUAGCCGGCCUGAGAGGGCGACCGGCCACACUGGGACUGAGACACGGCCCAGACUCCUACGGGAGGCAGCAGUGGGGAAUCUUGCGCAAUGGGCGAAAGCCUGACGCAGCGACGCCGCGUGAGGGAUGACGGCCU
rnacentral:rRNA from 1 species